GUGAGGAAUAUUGGUCAAUGGGCGAGAGCCUGAACCAGCCAAGUCGCGUGAAGGAUGAAGGUUUUAUGAAUUGUAAACUUCUUUUGCAGGGGAAUAAAGUACGGUACGUGUACCGUUUUGUAUGUACUCUGCGAAUAAGGAUCGGCUAACUCCGUGCCAGCAGCCGCGGUAAUACGGAGGAUCCGAGCGUUAUCCGGAUUUAUUGGGUUUAAAGGGUGCGCAGGCGGGUUGAUAAGUCAGCGGUGAAAGUUUGCAGCUUAACUGUAAAAUUGCCGUUGAAACUGUCGAUCUUGAGUGCAAAUGAGGUAAGCGGAAUGUGUUGUGUAGCGGUGAAAUGCUUAGAUAUAACACAGAACACCGAUUGCGAAGGCAGCUUACUAAGCUACAACUGACACUGAAGCACGAAAGCGUGGGGAUCAAACAGGAUUAGAAACCCUUGUAGUCC
rnacentral:rRNA from 1 species